CCCAUAAGGGCCAUGCGGACUUGACGUCAUCCCCACCUUCCUCCAGUAUAUCACUGGCAGUCUUUCGUGAGUGCGGCACGCACCUUUUUGUUUGUUUCGGAGCCGUUUGUUUGGGCGGGGCGUACUAAACCCACUACGUACCACACCACCGGGUGGCUCGCCUAAAUGCCGAGUCUUUCUCUGCCGUCAACUCGACGUCGUCGUCACCUGCAAGAUAAGG
rnacentral:lncRNA from 1 species